CCUACGGGGGGCAGCAGUGGGGAAUAUUGGGCAAUGGGCGCAAGCCUGACCCAGCAACGCCGCGUGAAGGAUGAAGGUUUUCGGAUUGUAAACUUCUGUCGCGAGGGACGAAGAAUGACGGUACCUCGUAAGAAAGCCCCGGCUAACUACGUGCCAGCAGCCGCGGUAAUACGUAGGGGGCAAGCGUUGUCCGGAAUGACUGGGCGUAAAGGGAGUGUAGGCGGCCUUGUAAGUUAGAUGUGAAAUCCUACGGCUUAACCGUAGAACUGCAUCUAAAACUGUGAGGCUGGAGUGCAGGAGAGGUG
rnacentral:rRNA from 1 species